rnacentral:rRNA from 1 species
GAAUCUUGGACAAUGGGGGCAACCCUGAUCCAGCCAUGCCGCGUGAACGAUGAAGGCCUUAGGGUUGUAAAGUUCUUUCAGCGAGGAAGAUAAUGACGGUACUCGCAGAAGAAGCCCCGGCUAACUCCGUACCAGCAGCCGCGGUAAUACGGAGGGGGCUAGCGUUGUUCGGAAUUACUGGGCGUAAAGCGCACGUAGGCGGAUCAGUCAGUCAGGGGUGAAAUCCCGGGGCUCAACCCCGGAACUGCCUUUGAUACUGCUGGUCUGGAGGUCGAGAGAGGUGAGUGGAAUUCCGAGUGUAGAGGUGAAAUUCGUAGAUAUUCGGAGGAACACCAGUGGCGAAGGCGGCUCACUGGCUCGAUACUGACGCUGAGGUGCGAAAGCGUGGGGAGCAAACAGG